UACGAAGGGGGCUAGCGUUGUUCGGAAUUACUGGGCGUAAAGCGCACGUAGGCGGAUACUUAAGUCAGGGGUGAAAUCCCGGGGCUCAACCCCGGAACUGCCUUUGAUACUGGGUAUCUCGAGUCCGGAAGAGGUGAGUGGAAUUCCGAGUGUAGAGGUGAAAUUCGUAGAUAUUGGGAAGAACACCGGUGGCGAAGGCGGCUCACUGGCUCAUUACUGACGCUCAGGCGCGAUAGCGUGGGAUCAAACAGG
rnacentral:rRNA from 1 species